UUGGAGAGAUGCAAGCGAGAGAGUGAGCGAGCGAGCAUUGAAGAUACUGCCAGCUCGAGAUGAGGAAGUCCAGCCGGGGGAGGGUGAGCGAGAACCGUUAAAGGAGUCACAGAGAGAGUUUGCUUGACCUUCAAAGCCUAAUUGAUAGGCUUUUCAUAGACCUUGUUUGAGAUGUGCGUGGUCCCUGUUGUUCGGCAGACCCUUACAACUCCUGGAGAAGUACAAAGUCAACUGCAGCAUUACACCAAGAAGUUGUCCAACAGUAUCACGCUGUCUGCUGUAUCAGUCGGUUCAGUGGUUUCUCCCUUCGGCCCUGCAGACUGUGGACACUAGCCAUCAGUUAAGGAGUCCUGGACUCGCGUUCCUUUCCACUGCUGUCGUUCCCAAGAGCCCUGCACAAAUCAGAAACCUGGGUUUGAAAAAGUUGGGUUUGUGGACUUUGGAAAGGA